rnacentral:rRNA from 1 species
UAAAUUGAAGAGUUUGAUCAUGGCUCAGAUUGAACGCUGGCGGCAGGCCUAACACAUGCAAGUCGAACGGAGUGAUAGUGUAGCUUGC